UAAAAAAAAAAACCUAAAUUUCCGUAUCUAAUGUUUGACUAUCCGUAUUAUAUGAAAUUUUUUUAUAAUUAGUAUAUUCAUUAUUGUUAGAUGAUAAAACAUGAUUAAUACUUUAUGCGUGACUUAUCUUUUUAAUUUUUUUUCAUAAUUUUUCAAAUAAUACGAACGGUCAAACGUUAGAUAUGGAAACCCAGCGUUUAUU
rfam:Oryza sativa (indica cultivar-group) chromosome 9, whole genome shotgun sequence.